GGUGCAGAGAGUGGCAGGGCUCCCCCUUCUCUUGCUCCGAACGGAAAAGUUUUAUUUGGCCCCAAGCUUCCUAUAAAUUUUCGCCUCUAGGAAGACUUCAGCAGAAGAAAAAUGUCUGCAAAACCAGUGCCCUGUGGAAUUAGAAACAAAUAUGAGAAGCUGAGUGAGCUUGGGCAAGCACGUGAAAUCACAUCUUAUCUUUCUGAAUCCAACCUGAGAAUCUGAAGCCAUUUCUGUGGUGGCAGAGCUCCAUCCAUGAUGCAACAGGAAUGUUCUCAUACAAAUGAAAAGAAUGAAAGAAUGUAGAAGGAAGCUGAAUGUUACCUUCUGUUCCGCCUCCUAAUCCCUUGCUGGCAGAAAUUUGAGGUCUAAAUUGGCGUGAUAUUUUAACCAGAGGGAGAAAUUCAACUGACAAGACUUAUGCAAAAGACAAGUAACAAAAGUGUUUAGGUGGAGAAGUAUAACCUGAAGAGAAGAUUCUUACUCCUUUUGUUAAAAAAAAAGGACACAACUGACUACAUGCCUCCAGAGAAAACUCCUGAUUCUCCUAAAAGAAAAUAAUUUUUCUAUAGAGGUAAAUGUGGAGAGUAUUCCAUCACCAUGAUAAAAAGUCCAGAGAGGAAAAAAAUGUCUAGGACACUAGGGUAGUUGAAUCCCAUGGAUGCAAGAGCAGGUGUUGAAGGAGAUUGUUACCAUCACUGGCCACAGCCCUCCAUUGCUCACAAUCAAUGCCAUUAGCAGAAACCUGCAUAGAUUUCUGUGAUGAGUCUGCAAUGCGGUCUACCAGGUACUGUGAGCUGAGUCCUUUUUGGCUCUGUGCUGAGAGAUGGGGUUCAAGCUAUUGGUGCAGUGCUUAUCUAGAACAUUCCUCAUCUUUAUUAACUGUGUCUAGUGGUUAAACAGUUCUUAGCAUAAAUGGGAAUGGACUUUGAAAUGAGCAAGUGGAACUGUUUCUUUUCCUUAGAAUAUUCACAAUAAUUUAAGAAUAGCAAACAAAGUUGGCUUUCCUUGAAUAGCACCUCUUUUUCUUUGAAAA